GGGCGCGUAGCUCAGCUGGGAGAGCACCUGGUUCGCACUCAGGAGGUCGAGGGUUCGAGUCCCUUCGCGUCCACCA
rnacentral:tRNA from 4 species